rnacentral:rRNA from 1 species
GAUCAUGGCUCAGGAUGAACGCUGGCGGCGUGCUUAACACAUGCAAGUCGAACGAAGCACUUAAGAUUGAUUCUUCGGAUGAUGUUCUUUUGUGACUUAGUGGCGGACGGGUGAGUAACGCGUGGGUAACCUGCCUCACACGAGGGGAUAACAGUUAGAAAUGACUGCUAAUACCGCAUAACCCGAUAGGAUCGCAUGAUCCAGACGGAAAAGAUUUAUCGGUGUGAGAUGGACCCG